AGGUUGAUGAAGCUCUUUCUAAAGUUUGGUGGGCUCACGACACUCGUAGCUCACCUUCUCACUUCUCGAACCCUAGGUAGAAACCCUAGGGUACUCUCAGAAAACCCUGCGCCCACUUUCUUUCUUUUCCUUUCUCUCGAAAGUUUUUGAACUUUGAUCUCACGCACAAGGCCUUCUCACGCCACUCUUUCUUUCUCUAAUCAGAUCUUUU
rnacentral:lncRNA from 1 species